UACGUAGGGCGCAAGCGUUGUCCGGAAUUAUUGGGCGUAAAGAGCUCGUAGGCGGCCUGUUGCGUCCGCUGUGAAAUCCCGGGGCUCAACCCCGGGCCUGCAGUGGAUACGGGCUGGCUAGAGGCAGGCAGGGGAGAACGGAAUUCCUGGUGUAGCGGUGAAAUGCGCAGAUAUCAGGAGGAACACCGGUGGUGUAGACGGCUUUCUGGACCGUAACUGACGCUGAGACACGAAAGCGUGGGUAGCAAACAGG
rnacentral:rRNA from 1 species